rnacentral:rRNA from 1 species
UACGAAGGGGGCUAGCGUUGUUCGGAAUCACUGGGCGUAAAGCGCACGUAGGCGGCUUGUUAAGUCGGGGGUGAAAUCCUGAGGCUCAACCUCAGAACUGCCUCCGAUACUGGCAAUCUCGAGUUCGGAAGAGGUUGGUGGAACAGCUAGUGUAGAGGUGAAAUUCGUAGAUAUUAGCUAGAACACCAGUGGCGAAGGCGGCCAACUGGUCCGACACUGACGCUGAGGUGCGAAAGCGUGGGGAGCAAACAGG